GCAAGUGACCAACAAAGAGCAAAGGAACCCAUCUACUACCUGGCAACCUUUCCAGGGGUCCAGAUCACAGACACCCAGCAGAACAUGUAUGAGGCCAAAUAACAACUCCGUAUACCCCCCACCCCCCACCACCACCACCACCACCACCACCACCACAGGAACAAGCUGAACAGCUACAGGCCAAAACCCAGAAGCCAACAGAAUAAACUCUGGACUUUGCUCUCACUCCUUUACUGCAUCACGGCCUCCUGUUGUAUUAUAUUGUUCUGUUGACUGUCUGGUUGUUACUUUCAGACUUAUUGCAGAGGCUACAGAGCUGUGUAAAAUAACACACAGUACACUUAAAGGACUUCAUCAGUGGGCAAAAAACUGUUUCCUGCCACGUCUAUUAACGUUCAGAAGGUCAACUCUUUUACCUGGUUUAAUUCAUUAUUUUAAACCAGAUGUUAUUUGUCUGUAUAAGCGCCAAACCCAACUCACCUCGUCAGCCAACUAUCGGUAGAACCAGCUGGAAAAGUUAGUCAUACAAGGAACCUGUAGAAUUUCACAACUUUUUUAAGAGGGUUUGUAGAGGAUUUGGCCACCCAAAUAAAUGUACAUCUUUAAUUUAA